rnacentral:tRNA from 1 species
AGCUCGAUGGUGAAAUGGAAAUCAUCCCUCGCUUCGAACGAGGGGUUCCGGGUUCGACUCCCGGUUGAGCUGC